rnacentral:lncRNA from 1 species
AUCUUCCAUGCUCACACUUAUGGGGCUUUUGUUCUUAGUGCUUCUCUAGGUUGUCCUUGAAUCCGUCCUUCAUAUUUACUGCACGAACAAACCUUGGUCUAAAAUGGUGGGCUAAUUCUUGCACCUCCAUCUGCUUCGAGAGAAGUCAGUGGCAGUACCGGUCCAGGCAAAGUAAUGUACAAACAAUCGUUGAAUCUUCUUCGUUUUCUUCUUCUUGUAGUCUUCACAAAAUGUACGGCCAUGCCGACAAAAAUUAAUAAGUCAACAUAUAAAAAUUCUACGAAAUGAAUGGUUAAUACGAUUAAUUAAAUGAGUAUUAAUAUAUUUAAGAUGAUGUUAACAGGGUCGUGCCCAACAUGAGAUGGAGAUAAAAUUGUCUUCCUUCCAAUGGAGCCUAAGU